UACGAAGGGUGCAAACGUUGCUCGGAAUUAUUGGGCGUAAAGAGCUCGUAGGCGGUCUGUCGCGUCGGCUGUGAAAACCCGGAGCUCAACUCCGGGCCUGCAGUCGAUACGGGCAGACUGGAGUUCGGCAGGGGAGACUGGAAUUCCUGGUGUAGCGGUGAAAUGCGCAGAUAUCAGGAGGAACACCGGUGGCGAAGGCGGGUCUCUGGGCCGAUACUGACGCUGAGGAGCGAAAGCGUGGGGAGCGAACAGG
rnacentral:rRNA from 1 species